CCUUGAAAUACCACCCUUUAAUGGCUGGUGUUCUAACGUAGACCCGUAAUCCGGGUUGCGGACAGUGUCUGGUGGGUAGUUUGACUGGGGCGGUCUCCUCCCAAAGAGUAACGGAGGAGCACGAAGGUUAGCUAAUCCUGGUCGGACAUCAGGAGGUUAGUGCAAUGGCAUAAGCUAGCUUGACUGCGAGAGUGACGGCUCGAGCAGGUGCGAAAGCAGGUCAUAGUGAUCCGGUGGUUCUGAAUGGAAGGGCCAUCGCUCAACGGAUAAAAGGUACUCCGGGGAUAACAGGCUGAUACCGCCCAAGAGUUCAUAUCGACGGCGGUGUUUGGCACCUCGAUGUCGGCUCAUCACAUCCUGGGGCUGAAGUAGGUCCCAAGGGUAUGGCUGUUCGCCAUUUAAAGUGGUACGCGAGCUGGGUUUAGAACGUCGUGAGACAGUUCGGUCCCUAUCUGCCGUGGGCGCUGGAGAAUUGAGGGGGGCUGCUCCUAGUACGAGAGGACCGGAGUGGACGCAUCACUGGUGUUCGGGUUGUCAUGCCAAUGGCACUGCCCGGUAGCUAAAUGCGGAAGAGAUAAGUGCUGAAAGCAUCUAAGCACGAAACUUGCCCCGAGAUGAGUUCUCCCUGAGACUUUAAGUCUCCUGAAGGAACGUUAAAGACGAUGACGUUGAUAGGUCGGGUGUGUAAGCGCAGCGAUGCGUUGAGCUAACCGAUACUAAUGAACCGUGAGGCUUAACCUU
rnacentral:rRNA from 1 species